rnacentral:rRNA from 1 species
GACGAACGCUGGCGGCGUGCCUAAUACAUGCAAGUUGAGCGCUGAAGGUUGGUACUUGUACCAACUGGAUGAGCAGCGAACGGGUGAGUAACGCGUGGGGAAUCUGCCUUUGAGCGGGGGACAACAUUUGGAAACGAAUGCUAAUACCGCAUAAAAACUUUAAACACAAGUUUUAAGUUUGAAAGAUGCAAUUGCAUCACUCAAAGAUGAUCCCGCGUUGUAUUAGCUAGUUGGUGAGGUAAAGGCUCACCAAGGCGAUGACACAUAGCCGACCUGAGAGGGUGAUCGGCCACAUUGGGACUGAGACACGGCCCAAACUCCUACGAGAGGCAGCAGUAGGGAAUCUUCGGCAAUGGACGAAAGUCUGACCGAGCAACGCCGCGUGAGUGAAGAAGGUUUUCGGAUCGUAAAACUCUGUUGGUAGAGAAGAACGUUGGUGGGAGUGGAAAGCUCAUCAAGUGACGGUAACUACCCAGAAAGGGACGGCUAACUACGUG